GGCUUUUUGAUUAUAAUUUAAAGUCUGGCCUGCUCUAUGAAAAUAUUUAAAUGGCCGCGGUAUAUUAACCGUGCAAAGGUAGCAUAAUCAUUAGUUUUUUAAUUAAAAGCUGGUAUGAAAGGUUUGAUGAAAAAAUAACUGUCUCUAGAUAAAUUUAGUUAAAAUUUUAUUUUUAAGUUAAAAAGCUUAAAUAUUUAUAAAAGACGAGAAGACCCUAUAGAGUUUUAUAUUUAUUUAUUUAAAUUAUUUUAGUAUUUAAAAAUUUUAUUAGAAUAAGUAUUUAAUUGGGGUGAUUUAAAAAUUUAUUAAACUUUUUAUGUAUUAAAACAUUUAUUUAUGAUUAUAUAAUCUUUUAUUAAGAAAUUAAGAAAAAAUUACCUUAGGGAUAACAGCGUAAUUUUCUUAGAGAGUUCAAAUUGAAAAGAAAGAUUGCGACCUCGAUGUUGGAUUAAAGUUUAUUUUUGGUGUAGAAGCUUAUGUAUUAGGUCUGUUCGACCUUUAAAACUUUACAUGAUCUGAGUUUAAACCGGUGUAAG
rnacentral:rRNA from 1 species